rnacentral:lncRNA from 1 species
AAAAAGCCCUAAAUUUUCGAAAUCAUUCCCAAUCUUUUAAAAUUUUAUGAAAAUCAUUUUCAAUACUAUUGAUGCCCUUUAAUUGCAGCAAGAAAUCGAAAUUUCUUACCUUAAAUUCGAAGAAAGAAAUAACCGAAAGGGAGAGAGACUUUCAAGCACCGAAGUCCAACCAAGCUACCUUGAUCGUGAAAGAAAUGGUGUGAGCUUCAAGGAGGGAGGAGUUAUGAUCUCCCGAAAGAAGGCAAGUGGUCUUGAUGGUGUUCUUGGAGUAGUCCAAGGCAAGAGUUAAAUAAGGAACUCUCAUUUUAAAUUUUGGGAAUUUCUUUGAAAAGGUGAAGUGAGGUGGAGAGAGGAGGGCCGAUGAUGGUGGUG